GGCCAUGUUCCCUGCAUGAGACUAUGUUAUUAGUCGCAUGUGGAUGUUUUAUGCUAAGAGUGGACGGUGUUGCCACAGGGUGUACGGUGUAAUGCACAAGGUUAGAGUGGCUGGGAGUCAAGAUCAUAUGUUGAGCUGAGUCGAGAAGUCGUGAAGCUGCGGUGAGUCAAAAUCAGGGAGAGCACAAAAGACAUGUCAAGAUUAGGAGGAGAUUGUUAGGAUUAAUCUUGAGUUUGAGUCUAAUUAGGUUUCGUUGUUUCCUAGUUCUAUUUGUUAGGGCUUGUUGCCGUGUAUACAAGUCCGUGUGGGUCACGAGGCCUAGUCCUAGUCGGUAUAGUCUUGCGGCCAGGUGAGGAUGCGUAUAUAUACACAUCAACGGCUGCAGCUUGUAAUAAAAGCUUGUAACGUGAGUUUGCGGAACAAAAUAAAAGAAAAAAAUAAAGGACAUGAUACGAGUCUUUGAUCAAAUAAUCUUGUGAUCGUCGUCUGCGUGUGGUUCUUCGUGUCUUCAUCUGAUUUAUCUUCGAGCAAACUUGACAGGCAUUC
rnacentral:lncRNA from 1 species